rnacentral:rRNA from 1 species
CCUACGGGAGGCAGCAGUGAGGAAUAUUGGUCAAUGGGCUUACGCCUGAACCAGCCAAGUCGCGUGAGGGAAGACUGCCCUAUGGGUUGUAAACCUCUUUUGUCAGGGAGCAAUUGGCGCUACGUGUAGCGUUAUCGAGAGUACCUGAAGAAAAAGCAUCGGCUAACUCCGUGCAAGCAGCCGCGGUAAUACGGAGGAUGCGAGCGUUAUCCGGAUUUCUUGGGUUUAAAGGGUGCGUAGGCGGAAUGCAAAGUCAGCGGUAAAAUCGCGGGGCUCAACCUCGCUCCGCCGUUGACACUGGCGUGCUGGAGUGGGGGAGAGGUAUGCGGAAUGCGUGGUGUAGCGGUGAAAUGCAUAGAUAGCACGUAGAACACCGAUUGCGAAGGCAGCAUACCGGCGCCCAACUGACGCUGAAGCACGAAAGCGUGGGUAUCGAACAGGAUUAGAUACCCGGGUAGUC